GAGGAUGUAGCUCAGUGGUAGAGCACUUGUGUAGCAUGUGCAAGGCCCUGGGUUCAAUCCCCAGUACCACCA
rnacentral:tRNA from 1 species